UAUGGGGGAAAAAAUACAACAGUCCCCCCAGCAUGUUUCAGUCUGUGUGCUCAUUUUGCAGCAGCUCUCUAUGGAGGCGUCCAUAAACAUGAAAUGGGAUCUUAGCGUUACUGGCAGCUUGAAUCACAUUGACUCUGGAACCCGUGGAAGCGGACGACAAGAACAUACAAGCGGCGAUAAAAUGCAGAUAAAUUUGACAGGGGAGCGCAGCGGCGCCGGGCGCUCUGAUCAGGCAUUCUCAUUGAUGAAUUGGAUCACUGCGAUGCUCUCAAGAAGCCUCAGGAGCAACAGAAAAAACACACGUGGACUUUGAGCACAAUGUGACACAACCCGGGUAUGUACAAAGCAUUAAAAGUUGCACAUUUUGGAAACCGACACACAUUUUCAGGAAAAAAUAUGCCUUGGGAGUGCCUUCAGAACAUGACAGAUGGCAAUCGCACAUCACACAUUGCUCAAUUUGAUUUUCAAAAUAUGUCGAUGGACAAGGUCUUUUUUAGAUGAUGUUUAAAACUAAAAAGUUAACGUGUGUGUAAAAUAGUUCUCAUAUUAUACGGGCGAUGAAUUGCACUUGUCAUAGUUUGGCUAGUCCUGCGACUCAGGUGCGACUUGUAUAUAUUCAAAUUAGAGCUUGGACUAACACCCCAAAUCUCCGUUCCCUGAUCACAUUUACUUUUUGACAUUUGGCAAUUAUUUUUGGUGUUUGCUAACCGCAAAAAUAAAGAAGUAGUCGUAGUAGUGGUAGUAGUUGUCGUCGUCAUGACAACUACUGUGUGAUGUGAUAGCUAGUUUAACACACGCCUUCCUUGUGCCCAAACAAUUAUCUACAGCACCAAAAGACGCAAUAACCGACCAGAGUUCAACCUGUGGCCAAAAUAUGACAGGGGAUUCUAGUUAAGGUAUGCUAUUUUAAACUAAAAAGAAAAACCUUUCGGGAGUUAAA